GACGACGCUGGCGGCGUGCCUAACACAUGCAAGUCGAGCGGGGUUGAGGCGAGAGGUAACUCGAACUUCUACCUAGCGGCGGACGGGUGAGUAACGCGUGGGCAACCUGCCUCAAGGUUUGGGAUAACAGCCCGAAAGGGCUGCUAAUACCGGAUAUGCCUAUGGCCUCGCAUGGGGCUAUGAGCAAAGGGGAAACCCGCCUUGAGAUGGGCCGCGUCCCAUCAGCUAGUUGGUGAGGUAACAGCUCACCAAGGCGACGACGGGUAGCCGGCCUGAGAGGGUGACCGGCCACACUGGGACUGAGACACGGCCCAGACUCCUACGGGGGGCAGCAGUGGGGGAUCUUGCACAAUGGGCGAAAGCCUGAUGCAGCGACGCCGCGUGAGCGAAGAAGGCCUUCGGGUUGUAAAGCUCUGUCUGGAGGGACGAACAAAAUGACGGUACCUCCGGAGGAAGCCACGGCUAACUACGUG
rnacentral:rRNA from 1 species